CCCACGAACCCGCAACCAGCACGUGAAUCAACGCUUCGGUGACCCGUUUUGUGAUUCCAAAGCGAGCAAAAGUAUUCCGACGCAUUUUGGCAUUUACCCAUACCAAAUUGGAGCUCGAUUCGUGAUACCCAUCCUUGUUCGAAGCUAGAUUUAAGUUACCCAUUACUUUUCGGUAUCAAACCAGCAAGCUCGAAGCUUCUCGAACCCGGAUUCGGCAGCUCAAGCCUCCUCGGCGUCGACCCACUCCUUACCCAAGAGGUUUUAUGGUGAGAUAGUAGGAACCCUUCGGUGAACUUGGUAGCGCAUUAGAACUUUGUUUUCGCAGGUAUCGAGCUAGCUCUUGGGAUGGUGAUGGCG